CCCUCUUGAUGUGAUUGCCAUCAAUGACACUGGUGGUGUGAAACAAGCCUCUCACCUCCUCAAAUAUGAUUCCAUCCUUGGAACCUUCGAUGCUGUUGUCAAGCCUGUAGGGAGUGAUAUCAUCUCAGUUGAUGGAAAAGAAAUCAAAGUUGUCUCUGAUCGAAACCCUGCCAACCUUCCUUGGAAGUAAGAUUCUUCUUCAGUUUCAUACAAUUAGAGUCUGUUUGCAUACAAAGUUAGAAGUACUUUCCAAAGUUUCUCUUAGGUAAAAAAAACUAUAUUUCAAGUAGAGAAGUUGUUUCUGGUUUGUAUCCAAACAUGCUCCUAGUUUAGUAAAAUCUUGAUGAAAUUUUUGUAUGGAGAAGAGAGUGACAGUUCAUGAAGGUGACUGUGUGCUUUAAUUGCAGGGAGUUGGGGAUAGACUUGGUGAUUGAAGGAACUGGGGUGUUUGUAGACAGAGAAGGAGCUGGGAAACACAUUGUAGCAGGAGCUAAGAAGGUGCUCAUCACAGCACCUGGUAAAGGAGACAUCCCCACCUAUGUGGUUGGUGUCAAUGAAUAUGAUUACAGUGGAGAUGAACCAAUCAUCAGCAAUGCCUCUUGCACCACUAACUGCCUUGCACCCUUUGUCAAGGUCCUUGACCAGAAAUUCGGUAAUGUGCCUUGUCAUCACUUUUUCUGUCAAAUUCAUUCCUCAUCCAUCACAUUGAAACGUCUUUCAAAACAAAACAACUAAACUCUCACUUCAAUAACUCAUCCAUCACUCAGGUUUUAGUCAUUAUUGUAACAGGUGGAAAACGAAACAAAAUAGAACUAACAUGAAUUACAUUUUUUAAAACCAUAGAUUAAAACAAAUAUUUAAUGCAAUUAAGAACUAAAAUGAAUCAACAUGAUGUGAUAUUGAUAAGGACACAAUCAAAGUUUAUUUUCAAGAAUAAGAUCUCUUGACAUAAAGUCAACAUUAGUCUUUAUUCUCAAUAGAAAAAUAUCCUGGUUUUAGCAGAAAAUAAUUAUAUCUUCACACUCCAAUAAAUUUGCAAUAAUUUGAUAACCACUAUUUUGUACAUCUUUCUCUCUUUUUAUUUACAAUUACAACGUUUACUUUCUCUAAUAAUAAUACUUUAUAACCAAGUCGAUUAUAUAGUUGUCUUAAACAUCAUUUCUUUAUAUUAGAAUGACUUCGCAUGCUAUAUUAGAGAAUAAAGUGAAGGUCUACAUGUUUUAUAUGUUAUAUAUGUAUGUGGUUAGAAUUGUAGCUCCAAGUUCAUAUAUAUAUAUAUAUAUAUGGAAUAAAAAUGGUUAUGCAUAGAAUAUUAGAGACUAAAGUGAAGUUUUAGAUGUUUUAAAAGAUGGCAAUGGAGACUGACAAUCCAUGGCAGGUAUCAUCAAGGGCACAAUGACUACCACUCACUCGUACACUGGUGACCAGAGGCUUCUUGAUGCUAGCCACCGUGACCUAAGGCGUGCUAGGGCAGCAGCUCUGAACAUUGUCCCCACUUCAACAGGAGCAGCAAAGGCAGUGGCCCUUGUGCUGCCAACCCUGAAAGGCAAACUGAAUGGCAUUGCACUGCGUGUGCCAACCCCAAAUGUCUCAGUAGUAGACCUUGUUGUUCAGGUCUCAAAGAAGACCUUUGCAGAAGAAGUGAAUGCAGCAUUCAGAGAGAGUGCAGAGAAGGAGCUGAAGGGAAUCCUCUCAGUCUGUGAUGAGCCUCUUGUGUCUGUUGACUUCAGGUGCACUGAUGUGUCCUCAACCGUUGACUCCUCGUUGACCAUGGUGAUGGGAGAUGACAUGGUGAAGGUGAUUGCAUGGUAUGACAACGAGUGGGGUUACUCCCAAAGGGUUGUGGAUUUGGCUGACAUUGUUGCCAACAAAUGGAAGUGAUCAAAAGCUCAUUGGUAAUUAAUCAUGUACCAUGCCAUUGUAAUUUUGUAUGCUUACUACUACUACUACAACACUUUUGUUGCUUCAUUCCUUCUAAACAACUACUGAGAAACACAACCAUCAAUUUUCUCUCCCUUCUCAUUGUGCAAUAAAAUUCUUACCUUCGAAUCUUAAUGUUUGUGAUAAACAUUUUAUAUUUUUACAUUCUUUUUCUAUGCAAAAAUAAAAAUAAAAAUUAUAAAUGGUGCAUAGAGAGAUGCUAUAAAAAUAGGUAGUUAAAAUGUUCAACUUUAUGACUUCAUUCUACUUUUUAAUUCCUUGUGUGUGGGCAAGUUUUUAGUCUUCUUAAGUUUAAAUACUUUGAUUUUAUUCAUAUAUUCUAGAAAAAUCGACAAUUUUGGUUUUAAAAUUUUCAUUACUUAAUUUUCAUCCAUACAUUUAUAAAAAUAGGUAAUUUUAGUUCUACCAUUUUUUCCAAAGAUGCCAUGAAGUGAUAAAAUAUAUAACAUCUAUGACUUAUAUUAACUAUUUUAUUUUUUUUAAGUUAAAUUAUUGAAUAUGAACUAUUAAAUAAACUAAUGUAAGUAAAUUAUGAAGUACAUUGAAAAAUAAAGUAAAAUCAUAUAUAGUGGCAUCCACCUUGAAAGAAAUUAGCUAAUUGGAUUAUCACAACACCAAAAUCUUUAAAAAAAAGACGAAAAGUUAAAAAUAAAACUGAAAUUACUCAAUUUUUAAAUAUGUAGACUAAAAUCGAACAAUGUAUAUGUAGCACGGAUACGGAUACGGACACUGACACGACACGGAUAUAGAUACAGAGAUACGUAUAAUCUCUAAAAUGUAGGAUACGGGGAGACGGAUUUAUAUAUUAUAUAAUUUUGAAUUAUAUAAAUUGAAAAUAAAUAUUUAUGUGCAAAAGUAUGUUCCAAAUUCUUUUGGGAGCAGGAAGAUAUUUUUCAUGACUGGUUCAAAAGAAUUUGUUCUUAUUUUUAUAAUCAUAAUAAAAAUUUAUACAAUAAAUUUGAGUUUUCAGAAAGUUAUUGUAUUUAUACCUUUUAAAAUUGUGUUAGAACCGUGCUAAAAAUGUUCAAAAAUCCAACAAAUAUUUUUUUGAAUUAAACACUUCACCGAUAAGUAUCCUACGAGUGUCAUACGAAUGUCGUACGAGUGUCAACACGGAUACGUGUGUCCAACACAGAUACGUCAUUUAAGAAGAAGUGUCUGAGCCUCAUAUUAUACCUAUCCAAACUAAAAUUGUAUAUUUUUUAAAUUUACAAACUAAAAUUCAACAACUAAUUAAAAUUAUCUAUACAUUAAAUUACAAAGACCAAAAUGCAAUUCAUAAAAGAAAAUUAAUUGGGAGAGCUUUAUAUUAAACAGUAAUGUGAUUUUACUCAUUCCAGACUAAUCAUAUGCCAAAUGUAAUUUUCUAAUUUUUUUAAAGCAAAUGUAAUAUCCUACUCUUAUUAAUAUAUACAUUUAUAUUUAAUACCUUAUUUUAGCAUAGAGUAAAUCUUGCAUAAAUACUUAACAUAUAUAUAUAUAUAUAAAUUAUUUUUAUUAUUUAACUGAAAACUUAAUUUAAAAUAAAAGUUUGAUUGUUUUUUCUCUCAGAUUUAUUUAACAUGAUAUUACAAAGUGAACUUUAAGUCUAACUCAACCCCAUAAAACCGACUCAUAGGGUUGAGGUUUGCACCCACUUAUAUACAAUGAAAAGACUCUAAUCUUUAGUCGAUGUGGGAUCUCCAACCCAUGAUCUUUUUAUCAUCUCUCAACCAUUUACAGUUAUAUUUCAAAAUUAUUUUUCUAAUUUAACUGAAAAAUUAAUUCAAUAUAAAACAAUUUAGUUAUAAAUAAUUAUUUUAAUUAUAAUUGAAAAUAGUUAUUUAAAGAGUCGGUUAUAAAUAAUUAUUUAUAUUUUUUUUAUAAUAUCAAUACAUAAAUUAUUUAGUUUUAUUAAAAAAUUCAGUUUUUUAAGAUAUAACUGAAGAGUUCGUUUAAAUAAUAGAUAUAAUAUAUUUUUUUUAAUUAAUUUUGUGUAAAAAAUACUUCUACAAUUCCAAAAUAUUUUAUAUUUUUUCAUUUAAAAGAAAAGUUUUUUAUUUUUAUUAUUUAACUGAAAAAUUUAAUUCAAAAUAAAAAUUUGUUAUAAAAAGAUUAUUUAAAAGUUAUACCUAAAAUUAAUAAUGUAAAGGUUUUAGUUAUAAAUAAUUAUUUAAACAUCAUUAUGAUCAAUCCUUAUGGAUGACAAUGCAGAUUGGUCCACCGCAUAUAGACCCGUUCCGCAUUUGGUCCGUAAAAUACGGGCCGGAUUGGCCCAUCCCGUGCAAGGAAUGUGGACUCAUUUCAAUGGCCCGCCGCACAUAAGAGGUAGCUUGCAUAAGGAAAAUAUUUUUUUUUAAAAAAAGAAAAUUAUUAAUUAUAAAAAUACAUAUUUCCUCUAUUGAAAAAUUAAAAUUUUAUCCAUGUUUCAAUUCAUUCAAUUAAGAUAAAAAUAUGAAUUCAAGAAUGAGGGUUGAUAGAAAGCUAUUAAAAAUAAUUAAAAUUUUGUUUUGCAUAUAUUUUUCUUCUAUAUGUAUAUAAAUAUAUCAGAAUACCUUAUCAAAGUUUUGCUAUAAAAUAUUUUAAUGAAGAUGACUAAUUUAUUAAAGAGUAUCUUAUUGAAAUCUCUUCUUUAUAUUAUUUUUUUAUUAACCAAUUUUAAAUAUAAGUUUUUACUUAAAAUUAGAUUCACUCUCACUCUUAACAUUAACUCCUUUAGAUGAUUAAAAUAAAAUAUUCCAUUUUUUAGUAUAUUAAAUUAAUUUUUUUAAAAUAAAAUAAAGGUCACACUGCAAAAAAGUAAAAUAAUUAUUUUUUUAAUUUAUGUUGGCCAACCCGCCCUGCCCCGCUAUUGGUCCACACAGACUAUGGAUUAUGCGGGACGGGCCUAAGCGGGUCAGCGGGCUAAAUUAGUGAACCCGCCUCACACUUUUUGGUAGCAAGUUGUGGGCCACCCCGCAUGGCUCGCUCUGCAUUGUCAUCCUGAUAAUCCUCUUCCAAUUAUUAUCCUUUUACAAUCAUUCUCCACACAAUUUAAUAACUAUUCUGACCUCAAGUAUGAGAAAUAGCAUCGCUAGACUCAAUCACCGCAUCUUAGGUACUAUUUGCUUUGGAGGUUAAUGCUCCGUUACAGUUUUGUCCUUAAAAGGCACCUCAAUGGAUUGGAGGAGGAAGGAGUAUAUAAACUAUCCUUAGCCUCGACUCUUGAGUGAUGUAAGACUAUAUUAGUGGUACCGGAACAAGACCCCAGUCGAGGACUAAGGGGAGUGGAUUCUCCCUAGCUGAAAAGCUUGGGACACAUUUUCAUGCCCACAGACGGUGUCAAUAUUCUGACUCAGGUCCGAGAGAUAACAUCACUAGGGUCAAUCACCGCAUCCGAGGUAUUGUCCGCUUUGGAGGUUGGUGCUCCGUCACGGUUUUGUCCUUAAAAGACACCUCAGUGGGUUGGAGGAGGAAGGAGUAUAUAAAUUUCCCUUAACCUCGACUCCUGAGUGAUGUGAGACUAUAUUGGUGUCAUUUGUGGGAAUUAAAUUCUUUCCCGGGGAUUGUAAACUCUUUCCCUUAGCCCUCGACAGGGGGCUAUUGAAGAUGAGCUUCAAUUCAGAGAUGAAGAUCGAAAAAGUUAAGGAUCAGCCAUGAGAAAAAGUGUGUGCCUCCGAAAUUGAUUUUUUAUUCUUCUUUCUCAUGCUUGUUGUGUUUACUCCUCUUCCCUUUCUUCAACAAGCUCUUUCUCAUCCUUAUUUAUGUCAUCUAGGUUGUGUGUAGAUUGUCAAUAGUUAAACAAGAUUUUUGCGAAAUGAUAUAGUUUGAUAAAUCAAGUUGCAUGAAACAUCAAUGUUUUCCAAAAUAGACAUUAGAUCCGGGUAUCCACAAAUUUAAGUGAAGAAUGAAUGUAUAGAAGGAAACUUAUAGAUCCAGAUAUGACCACUAGGAGUAUGCAAUAACAUUUUUUGGAGUGACGAGUGCCCCAUGCACUAUAUAAAUAUGACCUUUCGUUCUUUUUGAACAAGUUUGUACACAUAAGGCAUAUGCGGAACAUCGAAGGGAAAUGAUAGAAUUCUUGAAAAAAAUAUAGUAUAAGUGGGAGCUUUAAUUGGUGAAGAUGUGAAUUUUAGGUUAUGUUGUAUCAACUCAAAGAAUCUAGUGGAUCCAACUAAAGUAGAGGCAAUGUUUCAGUAGAGUGUCCCUAGAUUUUCAUGAAGAUCAAAAUUUAUGUGAAUCUAGUUAACUGUUAUAUGAUAUCGAUGUAAGGGUAUUUUAGGAUAGUAAUAUUGUUAACACAACUAAACUGCAAUGAUUGAGAUUUUUCUUAGAUGGAUAGAUAAGAGUAAAACUUUCUAAAGUUGUUGGACAGGUUGAUUGGUUUACUAGUAUUAAUACUUAUUGACACACAAAAAUUUUAAGUAUAAUAUAUCAUAUCAUAGGUUGAGUUGUGUGUGGAUGCAAGCAGAAAGGGAGAUAUAGAUUAUGUUUGAAGGAACCUAAAAUUCUAUGGGGAAAAGUACACUACUCGUGACAUAAAGAUUAUGGUAGUGGCGUUAUCUUGAAGAUCUAGAGGCACUAUUUCUAUGGUAUUGAGUUUCACAUGUUCAUUGUUGCAAGAACCUUAUGUAUUUGUUUGAUUGGAAGAAGCUUGAGAUACGACAAAAGAGAUCAAUGAAGUUUUGAAAGAUUAUAAUUUCAAGUUUAUGUAUCAUUCAAGAGGGUGAAUUUGGUUGAAGAUGUCUUAAGUAGGAAGAUAGUUCAAGUGUCAGAUAUAAUGGUCAAGAACUUAAGUUAAUUGAGUGUUAUCGCUUGGAACUUUGUUUAUAGCAAUAGGCCUUGGUCUUUGCUCUUGAAAGUCAGGGUUCUUAAAUCAAAAUACGAGCUCAGAGUAGUUUAUAGAUCCUCAUCUCUUUGACCUGGAAUUAAACAGUUUUAUUCUACUAUACUUGAUUAUACUUCUUGGAUUGUUGGUACAUGUUCUUUUAUUAAUUUCGGGAAUGAUAAAUGGUGUUCUACUACUUCUUUAGCAAAUAAUGCAGGGAUAUCUGAUGGUUCUAGCAUUCUAGAUACAGUCUUGCAGUUUUGGACAGAUUGUGAUUGGAAUAUUCCAUUGUCUUUACAGCAGAUGCCUCAUCUUUUUAGUCAUAUCAUGGUCAGAACGGAACAUGAUAUUCCUAAUUGGAUUCUAGAUGAGUCUGGUCAUUUCACUCUUAAAUCGGCUAGGACUUUCUUCUUGAAACUAGGAGUUCCCCGUGGUUGGGGUAAAUUUAUUUGGUCUUCAUUUAUUCCGCCUACCAAAUCUCUUGUACUUUGGAAAGUUUUUCAUGGGCGCCUUCCUAUAGAUCAACAUAUUCAGAAUAAAGGUUUGUAUAUUUGUUCUAUGUGUACGCUAUGUGAAAAGCAUGAGGAAUCUAUUCCGCAUUUAUUUUUUGAAUGUUCUAAUGUUUUGGGUAUUUGGAGUUAGGUUUGGGAGAUUUUUUCUGCUUCUCAUUUCUCUAAUAAGGAUUAUCUUCUUUCUUUUAUUAAGAGUGAUGGUAGUCCUUUGGUUAAAUUGAUUAAGCUUGUUGUGAUAACUUUUUCUAUUUGGAUAAUAUGGUGUAUGAGGAAUUUUGCUCGUUUUUAGGAUAAGAUUGAGGUUUCUUGGGCUAUUUCGGUUAUUAAAGAUUUAAUUUGUCUGGUGGGUAACUCGUCUAAAGCUUUUAUGAAGAAUGAUAUGUUGGACUUCAACGUGAUCAAGUUUUUUGGUAUUAAUACUCGUACUAGUAAAGUUCUUCGUCCUCUUCCUGUGAAAUGGGAGUUUCCUUCAUCAGGCUAGGUUAAAAUUAACAUUGAUGAGGCUGCUAGGGGAUAUCCUGGUCUUGCUACUUGUGGAUGUAUUUUUUGUGGGAGUAUGGGGGAAUUUAUUGGAGCUUUCUCUGUGUUUCUUGAAGCUCAGACUACUUUGGUUGCUGAGUUUUAUGGGGUUAUACAUGUUAUGGAGGAAGCUCAAAAGAUGGGGCUUACUAAUAUCUGGUUGGAAUGUGAUUCUGCUUUGGUUUGUGCUGCGUUUACUACUAGGACAAAUGUUUCUUGGAUGCUUGGAAAUCGAUGGAAUACUUGUCUUAAUUAAUGUGUGAAAAUCAAGUUUAGGGUUACUCAUAUUUUUCGUGAAGGGAAUGUGUGUGCUGAUAAGUUGGCUAAUUUAGGAUUUAUUCAUAGAGAAUCUUUUCUUUGGUAUAAUAGGCUUCCAUCUAGUCUAUUCUUAUAAUUAUUUAUGAAUAGGUAUAGUCUACUUAUGUAUCGAUUUUGUUAGCAUAUGGGUUUUGGUCUAAUCCCCCAUAUUUUUGUAUUUUCUUUCUUUUUUUCUCUUUUUUAAUAAUACUUUUUUCAUGUGAUGACAAAUGAUUGUUGUUGCUUGAAGUGUCAACCUAACUAAGAUGUCAAGUUGCAUAAUGAUGUCUACCAUGAAAAUUUUUAUAAAAAACAAACUAAACAGGUUAAGGAUUUCAUGAUAUAUACUAAAUUGGUUGAAAUUCAAUUCCCACUAAUUUUUUCCAUUUUCUUUAUAAAUGAAAAAAAUAAAAAUAAUUAUUUUACAUUGAAAUUUUUACUUUCUGAAAAAUCAAUUUCUCAACAUCAAUAAUAAAUAAGUAUAGUUUGUUAAUCUGUAUUUUCAACACAAUGUUCAGUUAUAGUUAUUAGUUGACAAAAUAAUUAAUAUCUCUUGUACUCUGAAAAUAUAUGAAUAAAACACCUCAUAAUCUACCCUAGUUUAUGUUAGUUGAGGUAGAAAAUAAAUAAAUAAAACAUUCAAUUUAAGGAAAUGUUACUACAUCAAAUAGUCAAUAUAAAAAAUACUACUUAAAAGUCGACAUAAAAAAAAUUGGACCCAUACUAGUUCUAUAGCUAAUAAAAAAAAAGUCUAAAGUAAGCCACACAGAAAGGUGUAUACUAGAGAUAGAGUUUUGAAAUUAUGAUGAAAAUUUCCAUAAUACAGAAGAUUGAUAAAGAAAUGUGAUGAAGGCCUUAAGAAUUGUAAAUUGAAGGCAUGGUAGGUGCAGAAGUUUUGGUUAUUUUUGUUUACUGUGUGAACCUUUUUGUUGAAAGGUCAAAAAGUUAUGGGCGCGUAGACUGUGGAGGGAGACAUGGUCCACCACGUUUCAAUUUUCACCAUCAAAUAUUAUAGGUGGCAGACAACUCCAUCACCCCACAUCCAUGUCCGCGAAUCUAACUUCCAAACAUAACUCCGCAAUUACCUCCUUUCUUUUAUUUCAUUUUUUUCUCUAACUACAAUCUUAAUAUCAAUAUUUCCUUUUUUAUCGUUUCGAUUCAAAUAUUUCAAAAAUAAAUCAUUUUUAUUUUCAUAUUUUACUAUUUAACUUUUGACACACGUAAUUAUCAGAUAUAUCUAUAUAAAAUAAGGUGCCAGAUAUAACGCCCCCUUUGUCAUCAUUACGACAAAGGUUAAAACAGUCACUGGACACAAGUUCUAAUUUCUUUAGACAAAACAUGUUGUAAUUUCUUUAGACAAAACAUGAUUUUUUUUAAAUAUUAUUUCAUCUUAUAUUUCACAUGUAAUAGUUUCGUUACUAUAAUAGUCAAAAAUCUAAAAUUUAGACAAGAAAAAAAAUCAAUUUCUACCUGAAAAAACAUAUUUAACUGUUUUUAGAAUUGCAUGACUAUGUAACUUGUAACAUUUUUUUUUUAAUUAUAAAACUAUGUCCUGUAGCAGUUACAACUACACCGACCAUCUUUGUCGAUAAUGUUUCCUGUGUUAAAAUAUUUAAAGUUAAGCUACAAUCACAAUUUAAAAUCUUAAUUUUAUCUGUCCUAGCUCAUGCUUUACUAUACCAUUAAAAAUGCACAUGUCACGUUAAAUAUCGAUCCACAGCCUUAGAAAGUAUUAGACAUUUUAUAAAUAAUAUAAUAAUUUUUAUAUAAUUUUAAAUUUGUUUUUAUUAAAUAUUAUGAGUGUUUAUAUUUUGUCUUAAUGAAUAAUGAAAAGAAAUUUUAAAAGUGGACGGUUAAUUUAACAUAUUAGUAAUACUUUUAAUUAAAUUAAUUUUUUCUAUUAAUUUGUUUGAUUAUAUUGGAAGUGUUUGAAUUAAAAUGAAACACCUUUUGAAUUGAUUUUCCUCUCGUUUUAAGAAACGAGAGAGAGUGGUAAUUUUUUCAUAGACAAACUUUAAAGAGUUAACAUUAACGUAAACCGAUUCAUAACAAUUGUAAAAAUAAUAAUUUUAAGAUGAACUCAUUAAAAUAUAUUUAUCAAAAAGCAUGAAGAAUCUUCAUUUAAAACAUUAAUAAUGUAUUCUAAACGAAAAUCACUGAUUAAGAAUUAUUUUUAUUGAAUAUUGUAAUGAGAGAUUAAAAAGAUAUAAAUAAUUUACUGCAACAGUUCUCAUAUGGGGUUCACAUGGGGAGAGCCGAGUGGUGCCACGUUAACGGGUACAGUAUCUUUUCCGCAACAAAAUAUUGAAUAGCACCACUUUUACUUUAACGUUUACGGAAGCAGAGGAUCAUAACGCAGAUCUAUGAUUUACCUAGAAAACAUAAAGAACACAGAUCUCUACAAAAUACAACUGGCUCUGCAACGGAUGUCAUUAUUAUCACCAAGAACCAAUAGAAUAAAGCAAGAACAAUGAUAAAACCAGUAACGUGUGGCUCAACUCGAAUGGAUAAACAUGUACAUUAAAAAGUUCUUUUUUUUCAUUUUUUAACUGAAUCAAAGUUUCAAUUCAUAAAUAAAAAAAGUGGCAACUGCCAAGAGAAUAGAUUUGACGUGAUAUAAAAUUGUAGAUGGAAGGGAGAACAAUAUGGGUGGUAAAAUUAAAUGGUAACAGUAGGAAGAAGUGUGUGAAUAAUAAAUAUUUAAAUGUCACGGUCUCUUCUGCACUCAGGGGAAAGUUGAGGGUAGCGUUUUCUGUCAGUGCAGUAGUUGUAGAUGGUGAAUUUCUGACGCACCCAUUUGAGUCUUCGCCAUUGUGCGGCGUCAAGGUCACGGAACUCUGGUUGGUCCCACCAUCUCUUGCCCUGUGUGUCGCAGAACUUGGCGUUCACUGAGGCCUCACACCCAUCAAUGUGGAACCCCUUGUAGGCUGCUAUGAAUGGAGCUUUGGACCAAUCUGUUUUCUCCAAACCACCCCUUGUUGCCCAGUCAUCAGCAUUCCACAAACUGUUGUAUAUCUUCAUAGGUUGGUCGAAUGGAAAUUUCACUCCCAAGUCCUUGCUGUUCUUGAACACCCUGAUUGGCACAUCGUCCACAAAGAACCUGCACACCCCCACAUUUCAAUCUUUCUCAUCAACCAUCUUACAAUACAACUCUUUUAACAUGCUUUAUUUCGUAUUUAACACCUUUGGAACUAGAUUUAAACUAUCUCAUCUCAUCAAAAAUUACUUUCUGUUGUAAGAGAUUUCCAAGAAAUGGGGAGAAGUGAAAAGGGUUUCAAAGAGUGAAGUGCUUACACAAUCUGAUACAAGUUCCAGAGAAUAGAGUAUCUGUGGAAGUCUUUGGUGGGGUCAAACCAGAGAUAGAUUCUUUGCUCUCUGUCACCCUUCCCUCCAGUGAACACAUUUGUUUGCAAAAUGUAAGGUUGUCCUGUUCUGUUACCCAAGAACUCAAAGUCUAUCUCAUCGUGCUCCGCGUUUUGAGAAGAUAACUGUAGGUUCCAACCAUAACAAAGGUCACAUUCACAUGCAUACUCCACACAAACUACAGAAUCUCCAAGCAAAGUAAGUAAAUUAAGAAGUAAAUCAAACGCUUUUUUUCAUUUUGCUCCUACAUAGAAAGCAGUGACUGUGCCAGCUGAAUCUCCAGGAACCAUCUUUAUGUUCAUGCUGAAAUGACCAAACAAAUAUGAUCCCUUUGACUGAAAUCCAGUACCUGUACAACGUUGUUGGAAAGUUGUUAUAUGAUUCAAAUCUCACAUUUAAAAUAACUGAAAUAUAGUGUUUAAAAAUACAAAGUUGUUAUCUUGAAAUUUAGUUAUGAAAGUCAAAGUUGAGUAUUUUGGCCAAACUAUGCUUACCAGUGUACUUGUCAAGAUGAAGCUGAAUAUCAGAACCACCAUUGAAGUAUUUGAUGUGAUCAAAAGCCCAUGUAGGAACAUAGUUUCGCCCAAAGUCCACAUCCACUGGCUUCCGAGGGUUGGCACAAACUGCUGCAGAGGUCAGUGAUGCAAAUAUCAGACACACAGUCCACAAAGAAGAACCCAUUUUGUGUGUAUCAGUUUGUGAAACCUAAUGGCUAACAAAAGGCUAUAUAUAAGCAUUGCACCCACCCCCAUUACCCACCCUUCUUCCUCUCUCUUUCCCUCUACUUUCUAUCUUUUUAAAUGUUUAAUAUAAUUUUAUAUUUAAUUCAAUAAUACAUGGUUCAUCAUUUAAAAAACAAUCAAGUUUAUGCUUGUAAUAAUAUGAAUGAUAUAUUUAAGAUUUGUUUUCAUGCUAUGAUAAGAGAGAUGAAGACAAAGAAUCAUGCAUUUGCUUUAGUUAGGAUUUAGUGUUGGAAACAACUAAUAGAGAGACUAUUACGCGUUUAUUUAAAUUCACUGCUAGCUAAUCUUUGUAAUCAUCAAUCGUUUUCAGAUUAGAGUAUUGUUGUUUACGAUAAUGAUCAAUUUUCGAAUGCAUUUUAGGCUAUUUUUUGUAGAUAACUUCGUGAUUAUUUAACUAUUUCGUGGCACUUGGUGAUUACUUACUCCGUUUAAAUUAACAGUCUCUCCUUGGGCUGGCUCAUUACAAAUCAAAGAGGUAUAUUUUAAAUAUUUUUUAUUAUAUUUACAUAAUUUUUUUAAUGGAGAAAAUUGACGAGAUAAGAUUUCGGUAAAAAAAGAAAAUGUCAGUUUUUUGGUACAAAAUAAAUUGCAAGUUCGUUGUUUAUAUGAUAGAGUGAAUUAUUGUUUUUAUUUAUUUAUUUAAAGAAUCAAUAAUUCGUUGUGAGAUAAUUAUGAAUGUCUGAAUACUCAUAUCAUAAAGUCAAUUAUUAAUGUCUAAAUACUCAUUGUAAGUUUGUUUUAUUUUUAGAUUUAAAUUUACUUUUAUGAUUCCGCUAUUUUUGAAGGUGAAGUUAAAAGAUUAAUAAUUGGGAAGUAUAAUUUGAACGCCACCUUUAAUUUUCAAAUAUAUGGGAAUGAUUUUUUUUUAUUGUACAAAAAAGGGUCAUGCAGGGAAUAAAUGUUAUUUGUUAUUUCAGAAAAAUUGGUGUACGUGUAGUAAAAGAAGUUUGAAAUCAAGAAACUCCUGAAAAUUAUCCAAGUGAAAAUGUUCUUUAAUUUAUAAAAUUGUUGUUUGAUUUAAUGGAUGUAUUCUUAGAUGUUUAAAGAUUGUAGAAAAAUUAAUAAACUAUCUAGAUGUGUCAAAUGCAUUGUUUGAAAAUGUUUCAAGUGUAUUUUAAUAUGUUAUUUUGAUAUUUAACUGAUUUUUUUGUGUAGAUUUUUGCAUAUUGUUGUAGUUUAAUCGAUUAGUAUUUGCCUUAAUAGAUUAUUUUGAGUGUAUUUUUUGUUGUGUUAUUUUUAAUCGAUUAUAACAUAGUUUAAUAAAUUAUUUAAGUGAUUGAUUUGCACUAUAAGAAAAUCAUUAAAUAGAAGCUAAGUUUAGAGAUAAAAAAUAAUCAGUCAAUAUAUUGAUUAAAUUAAAUAUUAUUUUAGAGAUUAAAAUUUUUUUAAGUAUCUUAAAUAAUUUCUGUUAGUAAUCUAUAUAUAUAUAUAGAUGAUUUUGCUGUAUACACAUUUACUUUCUCAUUUUAUCCUUAUACUAAUAUUUUAUUUUGUUAUUUUAGAAAUAUAUAAUAAAAGUUUUUUGUCAUUUUAUUAUUAUCUUGGACAUUUCCGUCAUUUACCUUUUUUGGUAUUCACUUUUAUUUUGUUAAUUCUAUUAUCUAAAAAAUCAAACCUAACUUUCUUAAAAACUUCUCACUUCCCUGUCUAUAAAAAAUUUUCCACUUCUUUCUCUCAAUUGUCGUUCCUUAAACUUAUUAGUUAGACUAUUAACUUAUCUCAAGUUUCACUCCCUUCACUCAUAUCAUUUUCUCUAUAUUGGAGACACACGCUUCCAUCUUUACUUUUUUUCUUUUCUCUUUUCUUUUCUCUUUUUUUAUCUCUUUUUUGUAGAUACGUAUUCUCAUUUUUAUUUUUAUUUUCUAUUUUUGUUGGUUUUGUUCCAAUUGUUCCAUCUUCUUUACAUGCAUUGUGUUUUUAUAUAUAGAGUUCAAAAUCAACUCAUGACUAUGGCAACAAUAGGAGAACUCAAAACUCACCAUAUUGCAAACUCACAAAAAAAUUACUUUGCAGUGGUACAUGAAUUCGUAUCGUUUGGCCUUUCUCGUAAGACUUUUGUCUUUUGUAUUUGUGGGUGACUUCACCACCGCAACACCCAACCAGUGAGUGUAUAUUCGAAAACCUAAAAUUCAAGAGUAAGCAAAAAGUGUCCGCAAUGAUGGCAAAACAGUUCUUUCUUUUCUUUUUUUACCAAUCUUCAAUUAAUUUGUUUUUUAUUAUUAAUAGUUUGACAUAAAAUGCAUAGUUGUAUUGGAUUAAUCUAGAGGAAAAUUGUUGUCGUCAUCAAAGAUAUGAAGUUUGGUCCCUUGGUUGAAUUGGGACGAGUGACUCUUCCUCCAACACACUUUCUUCUCUAAUUCUCUUCACUUUGUUUCCUCUAGUCUCAAAGGAGUAAGUUUCUCAAUUUCUUUUUCAUAAGACACUAUAAAACUAAUCACAUUUUUUGUUUUAUGCGUUUCAAAUGUCCACAUGACAUCUUUGCUUCUUUCUUCAGUAUUUUCCCCCUAAAUUCAUUUUCUUUUUUUUCUUUUUAUAGGACUCAAAUGUUCUUCUUUGUUUUCUUAUCAAGAUUACUAAAAUGAUUGUUUUAUAAACAUUAACUAUUCACCAUUUUUUUUCCGUCUUCGAAGAUAAUUUUUUUAAACCUUUAAAACUAAAAAGAGAUAAAUGUUUUGACAUGUAGGAUAUAACAUUCUUACAACACUAGAAUAUUCCUUACAAUUUUCUCUCUAGGAUUUGCAAAGAUUUGGAUAGGAAUUUAAGCUUAUUUACAUGUUUAUGUUUUGUUCACAUGUUUUUUGGAGUCAUUAAUCCAGAGGGGUAAAAAAGAUGUAGAGGAGGAAGCACAAAGAGGAAGAUGGAAACAAGAGGUGUUUAUUUAUUUAUUUAGUUUUUCCCUUUGGCUCUUUUAUGUAAAGGAAAUAGAUGAUUACUAGAAGAUGACGCAGAGGAGGAAGCACAAAGAGGAAGAUGGAAACAAGAGGUGUUUAUUUAUUUAUUUAGUUUUUCCCUUUGUAUCUUUAAUGAAAGAGAUGAUUACUGAAAGAUGAUGCAAUGAUAUAUUGACUCAUAUGUAACAUUAAUGGUGACACAUAUAACCGUUCAAAUAAAAUUUGCUAUUAUGUUUAAAUUAAAAUUUCAAAUUAAUAUUUAUUAACAUUUUUAACCAAGUAUGCAUGUAGAAUAAAUUUGAUCACAUUAUUAAAAAAAAUUCUCAUUAAAUAUACUAUUUAAUGGAUGGAUUUAGUAUUAAUAGAAUACAUUUUGUUUACUUAUAAAUCUUAUUAAAUGUAUUAAACAAAUAAAAUGUGAAACAAUUAAAGUUAUAAUAUAUACAUAUCUAUUUAAUUAAUUUUAUUAAAUUCUUUAUUUAGUGUUAUUUAUUCUUGGAAAAAUAAAAAUUUAAGAUAAAAGUGACAUGUCUAAGUAUAUAAUAAUUUUUUUCCAUUUUAAAUUUUAUUUUGAAAAAUUAUUUUAUAUUAUUUAAAAUAAUGUUAGAUAUACAUUAAUAUACUAUAGGUUAACUGAAUUUAUGUUUAAAAUUGAUUUUAAAUAAAUGAUAAUUAUUUAAUUCAGAAUUAAUUUGUUAGAAAAAUAUUCUUUUGUAAUUAUUAUAUUUCACAAAACAUAUUUUAGAAGAAUAAAAUUUAAAUUAAUAUAGUUUUAAAAUUAUGUAAACUUUUCUCGGUGCAUGAAGGUUUUUUUGCUACAUAAAUUAUUUCAAAUUUGGUCACGUUGUUAAAAAAUUCUUUCUCAUUUAAAUGGUAUAUGUUAAAGAUGGUAACAUAUAAUAAACAAACAUAAUACUAAUAUCGUGCCUAAUGACAUUUGCUUCUCAUCCUAAAAGAGUUAAGAGGUUUGCAAUUAGAGGACAAACUCUAAGAUCCUAAACAAGUGUUUUCAUGAAGUACAGUGUUAGUUUUAGUCUGGGCAAAACAUUAUUUAUCAAAUGGAAAUAAGAUUGCAAAGUGUUAUAUACUUUAUUAAACGAAACACAUUUACCUUACAUAAUCUACUAUAAAUGAAAUAUUUUCAUCUUACAAGUAUAAUAAUGUUUUAUAUUCUAUUGUUUAAUAAUACCUAAUCAAAAUAUGAGUUGUUGAAUUUUUUAGUAGGAGAAAAGUAAAACACUUUCAAAGGAACAAAAUGAGAAUUGGAUCUUUGGGUUGUGAGAAGAGUCUAAUUUGACCUUUUAGAUGACUAUCACCCAAUUCACUAUCACAUAUGACCCAAAGACUAUGAAGUUGGAUUGAUAAUCAAUGAGUGUGGUAUAUUGCUAAAGAUCUAGAUUUUAGAUGAAAAUAGAUAAAAAGUUGAUUGACAUUUUGCUUAAAAUACAGUGACUAAAGAGAUUAUUUGUACGUGACAUGUUUUUGCUAAUCUUUAAUUGACAAAAAUCUUUAUAAAAGUAUUGGAGAAAGCAAAAUUUAACUUUCUACUCAAUAAGUUUGGGUUUUGUUCCUGCUAAGGAGAUGGGACCUAGAGAACUGUUGAAGUCUUCUUCUCCUUCCUUCGGUCGGUCAGGUGACUGGGUAGUGAACUGAGGUUCUCUUCGUCCUCCUGCUUCUCCUUCGGCCCUCGGCCUCGGCUGAACACCGGAUGGUGGGGGUACCUGCGAAGGCACUCCGACGCUCAAGUCAGUAAAGCGGGUGGUCAGCUCUCAGAGUGAUAAAUGACAUACCUUACUCCUUGGGAUGCGUACUAUUUAUAUUAUUCUAGUGGGCCUACCUUGUUGGGCCCAUUUAUCGAGGUGGACACCUCUUAGGUUUGCAUUACCUAAUUCUUAAUGAUAGAUUAACUUCACUGAUCUUGGUUUGAGCGUUAACUGUAAUAGGGGUCGGCCAUCGGCCAAAUCAUCAUGGCAUGGGUCGGCCAUCGGCCAUGUUUNNNNNNNNNNNNNNNNNNNNNNNNNNNNNNNNNNNNNNNNNNNNNNNNNNNNNNNNNNNNNNNNNNNNNNNNNNNNNNNNNNNNNNNNNNNNNNNNNNNNNNNNNNNNNNNNNNNNNNNNNNNNNNNNNNNNNNNNNNNNNNNNNNNNNNNNNNNNNNNNNNNNNNNNNNNNNNNNNNNNNNNNNNNNNNNNNNNNNNNNNNNNNNNNNNNNNNNNNNNNNNNNNNNNNNNNNNNNNNNNNNNNNNNNNNNNNNNNNNNNNNNUUGGCCGAGAGGCCGAGACGACCGAGAGGCCGAGACCUUAGAAGACUUGGCCGAUACGGCCGAGACCACUGAAACAUGGCCGAUGGUCGACCCAUGCCAUGAUGAUUUGGCCGAUGGCCGACCCUAUUACAGUUAACGCUCAAACCAAGAUCAGUGAAGUUAAUCUAUCAUUAAGAAUUAGGUAAUGCAAACCUAAGAGGUGUCCACCUCGAUAAAUGGGCCCAACAAGGUAGGCGCACUAGAAUAAUAUAAAUAGUACGCAUCCCAAGGAGUAAGGUAUGUCAUUUAUCACUCUGAGAGCUGACCACCCGCUUUACUGACUUGAGCGUCGGAGUGCCUUCGCAGGUACCCCCACCAUCCGGUGUUCAGCCGAGGCCGAGGGCCGAAGGAGAAGCAGGAGGACGAAGAGAACCUCAGUUCACUACCCAGUCACCUGACCGACCGAAGGAAGGAGAAGAAGACUUCAACAGUUCUCUAGGUCCCAUCUCCCUAGCAGGAACAGGUUUCAAACUUUGAUAUUUUAAAUUGAAAGGAUAUUAGAUAUUCUUGAAGACAAUAUUUUGAGAAUAUGAUACAUACUGUGCAUAUAUUUUGAAAAAAUAUUUUUUUUAAUUAAUAUUUGUAUUUCAAAUAACAAUAUAUAUGAUUAGGAGAAUUUUUAGGAGAAUGAAGAUUAUCCAUCGUAUACGCAUAUAAUAUAUAAUGAAAGUAAUAUAAAAAAAAUUCAUUAAUCAAAUGAUAUUUACUUUAUACUAAAAGGAGGAAAUUAAAAUAAACAGGAAUGGACCUCGAGAUCGGAAAUGAAUGCAGCAACAAGCUGUUGUUGUUAGCAUUAAGGAACAGAACAUGCGGUAAGUAGAAUUAUAAGAAUUCAAUAUCAGAUUAUUGGUGGUGCCAAGGAUAAGAAUAUAAUUACAUAAAAUAUAUAGUUUUAUUAUAGAGUUUGGUUUGUAUUCAAACCCAACGCCUUAAUUACAUUCCAAACAAUACAAUGGUAAUAAAUAAUAGUAGGAACGAAGUAUGUGGUAAUUGGCAAAUGAUGAAUGCAAUGAAAAACUUGUGGUAGAACUUGGAAGUAAUAAAAAUAGCAGAUGAAAAAUUUAAAUGUCACGGUUUCUUGUGCAUUCUGGUGGAAGUUGAGGGUAGCGGGUUCUGUCAGUGCAGUAGUUGUAGAUGGUGAAUUUCUGACGAACCCAUUUGAGUCUUCGCCACUGAAAGGAAUCAAGGUCACGAAACUCCGUUUGAUCCCACCAUCUCUUGCCCUGUGUGGCACAGAACCUUGCAUUCACUGAGGCUUCACACCCAUCGAUGUGAAAACUCUUGUACUCUGCUACGAAAGGAGCUUUGGACCAAUCUGUUUUCUCCAAACCACCCCUUGUGGCCCAAUCAUCAGCAUUCCACAAACUGUUGUACACCUUCAUGGGUUGGUCAAAGGGGAACUUCACUCCCAACUCCUUCAGAUUCUUGAACACCCUGAUUGGGAUGUUAUCCACUAGGAAUCUGUGCAUGUAAUUAGAAACAUCGUACACUUCAAUUACUUAUGUUUGUGUUUGUUACUGUUAUAUCCCACAAUAGAAUUGAACUUUUCUUUGAGUACUUACACGACUUGAUACAUGUUCCAUAGUACAGAGUAUCUGUGGUAUGCUUUUGUGGGAUCGAACCAGAGAUAGAUUCUUUGCUCUCUGUCACCCUUCCCUCCAGUGAACACAUUUGUUUGCAAAAUGUAAGGUUGUCCUGUUCUGUUCCCCAAGAACUCAAAGUCUAUCUCAUCGUGCUCCGCGUUUUGAGAUGAUAACUGCAGGUUCCAAUCAUAGAAAAUCAACUAGGUUAAAACAAAAACUUUAACACCUAUACCUUACUCAUAUAAUCUAAGUAGAAUUCAUUAUUAGUAUAAAAUUGUUUAUUUUUACAAUAAGGCAAUUUCUAUUUAAUUGAUACUACAAUGAGACUGUAUUAAAAUAAAAAAUAAAAAAAGUUGUGCAUACAUAAAAAGCAGUGACUGUGCCAGCUGAAUCACCAGGGACCAUCUUUAUGUCCAUGCUGAAGUGACCAAACAAAUAUGACCCUUUGGAUUGGAAGCCAGUGCCUGUUCAAAUUUGCAUGAAUUAACAUGAAAUUAUACCAACUUUGUUACAGCUAAGUAGAUAAUCAGGGUGAAGUUUGUUUAUAUAUUACGUACCAGUGUACUUGUCAAGAUGAAGUUGAAUCGCAGAACCCCCAUUGAAGUAUUUGAUGUGAUCAAAAGCCCAUGUGGGAACGUAGUUUCGCCCAAAUGGAACAUCCACUGGCCUCCGUGGGGUGGCACUGAGUGCAGAAGAGGUUAGUGAAACCAAAAUAAGACACAAAGUCAACAAAGAAGUACCCAUGUUAUGUGUUUUAACGAGGGAAAGAUGAAAGUGUUGUGAAAGUGUCAGAGGCCAAGGGAGAUAUAUAUAGACACAUGACCCUGCCUUGGAAGUUUGCCUCUUCAUCCCUCUCUGCCUCAGGAAUUUUCUUUCUGCUCAUUAGGUAGAGUUCUGUUCAUGAUUAUGAUCUUGGAAAGUUAGAAGUAACAGGUGUCAUCACAAUAUUACGCGUUUAUUAGCUUGCUAAUUAGCAAUCAUUUUCUACCUAAUGGGACAAUAUUUUUUUUAAAUGUUAAAUUUAAUAAAAAAUAUAUAAUUUAAUCAAGAUUUUUAAUUUAUUAAGUUAGUCUUUAUGUGUAAACGUUAGGGGUUUAGUUUUUAUGUUAUGUUUUAUAUUUUUUUAAUUUGUUCUCUAUGAUAUAUAUAAGUGGCGUAAUCUGAUGUUUAUUACUAAUAUAGUAUUCUUGAUUUGAGUUUUACACUAAAGGACUAAACUAAAAAUGCAAAAGGAAAUCACAUUAACAAGAUCAUCUUCUCUUUUUUUUUCUUUUCUUUGGAAUUCUGAAUAACGAGGUUUUAACAAUAUAGAGAUUUAAACUCAGGUGUUUCAAUAAUCCAAUGGACAUUAUUGUAUCCUGGAUUCGUUGGCUAUUAGGCAUGCUACUUUUAGUUAAAGAUAGUUAAUUAAGUAAUAUUUAUUCAAUUGAAUAUUAUUUUAGAUGUGUAAAUUGUAUGGGAGUUGAAAUAGUGUGUAUGUUAAAAUAUGAUGUUAAUACCUAUAAUAGUGAAGCUUAUAUAAGGGGUGGGAUAGCCCAAACCCCAACCUUAUAGUUAGAUUCAUCGUUUUUUAAAUUUUUUCUUUAAGGGGAGAGUUAGGGGUUAAUGUUGUUGGUUAUUAAGAAGGGGUAGUUGGUCCAUAUCAUUUGUUCACAUGCAAUGUAAGAGUGGAGCAAUAUGUUUUAUAUUCUCAAAACCAUGUUUUAAUAUGUUACAUAUGAAAUAUUUCUAGUUUGCAUACUUUUCAUAUGAUAAUUUUUUUUUAUGCAGUUAUAUUCCUUCUAGUAAUUGAGUUUUUCAAUAUAUUGAUUUUACUUAACUAUACUCUUUUAAUAAAUUUUUUAUUUAUUAAAAUUCUAUAAAAAAAAGGAUUUGCAUUGUAUCAAAAAAAUAACUCAUAUUCUUGCAACUUUUACGUUUGAGAGAUAGCUUUUUGCAAAUAAAGUUUUUGUGAGAAAUUUUUUUUGAAAGAUCUUUGAGGUUUCUUGGAACAAAAUUUUCAUCAUCUUGUUGAAGCCAUAAAUAUUUCUUCGCUGUUGUGAAAUUAAGAAAUCCAGUUGUGUUUCUUGUUUCACAACUCAGGUUAAUUCAUUUCAUUCAUUACUGUUUUAUUUUUGUAUUUAUUUGUUAUCCAAGAUAGGGUUUCUUGGUGGUUAGUUCUGUUGUAAUAGGGUGUUGCAGUGUUGGUUCUGAUUCUUGUAGUGUUCAAAAACAAUUUGGUAUAUUUUCUUGUAAAGAAUUAUGUUUUUAGUGAAAACCACUUUGGUGUGAGGUGGGACUGAAUGUAGCUCUGUGUAGGAGGGAAUCCAUAUAAAAUUCUUGGUGUUCUUUUGUGUUUUUUAUUUUGUUUUACUAAUUGUUUGCAUGAUAAUUUAUUAUGAUAUAAUCAAUCUAUUGUUUUCCAAAAAUAAUUUGUUGUUUUAAAGCAUAGAUUGUUUUUUUGAAAUUUGUAUCUGUCAUAUUGAGGAUGUAAAAAGAGUAAGGAAACACGCACUCAUUCAGGAAUAUGAACUAUUUAGGAUACAACAAGGAGAAAAUAUUGCUAAGGUACAGAAGAGGUUCACACACAUAAUGAGUCACUUAACAGGUCUGAGAAAAGUCUUUGAUAAAUAAGAAUUGAAUAUAAAGGUUUUGAAAUGUUUGAAUAGAAGCUGGCAACCAAAACUUACAACAAUCUCUGAAUCCAAAGACUUGUCAAGACUGUGUACGACAACUUUGUUUGGAAAGUUGAGAGAAUAUGAGUUAGAACUUAAUCGACUGAAUGAUUAAGAGAAUUCUGAAAAGAAAAUACAAAAUAUAGCUCUCAAGGCUAGUACAUAAAAGAAGGUCUCCAGUGAAGAUGAUGAGGACUGAUAUCAAGAUGAGACUUUAAGUUUGCUCUCAAAGAAAUUCAACGGAUUUAUGAAGAAGAAAAAAUGUGACAAAUUUCAAUCUAGAAUGAGGUAUGCUUCUAAACCAAGUCAUUCUAGUGUUGCUAACUAUACAUGUUUUGGUUGUGGUAAUCCAGGGCAUAUUAAAAUGGAUUGUCCAAGCAACCAUAACAAAGAAAAAGCUCAAGGCAGAAAAGCAGACAAAGGCUAAAGCAAGAAAGCACAUAUCUUCGGAAGAUAAUGAUAUGUCUUCAUCAGUGAUUCCUCUACAGAGAGUGAAUAAGCAAAUCUAUGUUUCAUGGUCAACAAUGAGAUCCAACAAUGUUGGUGAAGAUGCUCAAGGAAUUGAUAUGAAUGUAUUGGUAGCCUAUGUACUACCAGUAGAUAGAGGUAAACCAUUGUCCAAAUUUGAGAGAUUCAUGGUAAACAGGUUGGAUUCAGUUUUUGCAACCCAGAGACAACACUUCGAAAUGAUUGAGGCAAGGUUUGAACACCUUGAUCAACAUAUUGAAGCAGUACAUGAGCAACUUGCCGUGCUCUAUCAUCAUGAUAAUUAAACUUGUGUUGAUCUUGUUAUAAUCGGUUUAAUUUUCAUAUUUAUUAAACUCUUUUAAUUUUUUGGUUUCUUUUGGCUUGCAUGGUGCUUUUUUAUGCACCUUGAACAUCUUAUAUUUUCCUUAAGCACUGAUAUUAUUGUUUUAAAUGGUUUUUAUUUUGUUUUGCUUAUUGUUAUUUGAUGGACUAACACACAUUUAAAUUUUGUUUCAUAUUCUAUUUGAUGAAUACUAAAGGGGAGACACAUAUCAAACUUCUAUAAUUAAAAUAAAUAAAAGUAAUCCAUGAAUAAUUAAACUUUUAAUUAAUUAUGUCAACUAUGUAUUAGUAUGUACACAUAAACCUAAAUCUUAAACCCUACAUUGACAUCACAAUUCAUCUUAGUCUUAGCAUAAUAUGUACUUCUUGUGGAAAUAUAAAAGUGAAAUGGAAGAAAGAAUGAGAUAUGAGUGGGAAUAUUUAGUAUGUUUCAUGUGAUAUAUAUUUGAUUGGACUUAUUUGAAUAAAUAUUUUCAUAAAUAAUUCUACAAUAAUAAAAUCAAGAAUUAACUUUUAUAAAAAUAAUUUAUAUAUAAAUUAAGAAAAAAAUCAGAUAUGGAUUAAACAAGAUGAGAGACUUAUAGAAUUAUACGAAUUAGUUUAUAUAUAAAUUAAUUUUAACAUAUAAAAAAUUCUCAAGAAAUUUUGAACAUUCUUAAAUAUAAGAGAAACAAUUUUAUAAUUAAAAAAUUAACUUUUUUUUUUAAAAGCUCUCAUGUUAAGCCUCACUAUAAAACUUGACAUUUCAGUUAGAUUAAGACCUCAAGUAACAACAAUCAUCUACCACCACAUGAAAAAAUGUUAUUAAAAGAAAAAAAGAAAGGAAAUACAAAUAAAUAUGGGGAGACUAGACAAAAACCCAUAUAUUAGCAAAAAUGAUACGUAGGUAUUUUAUAUCUAUUAAUAAAUAACUCUAAGAAAAUACUAGAUGGAAGCCUAUUAUACCAAUGAAAUUGUUCUCUAUGAAUAAAUCCUAAGGUAGCAAGCUUAUCAGCACAUGCACUCCCUUCAUGAAAAAUGUGAGAAACCCUAAACCUAAUUUUCCCACAGUAAUUAAGACAAGUGUUCCACCUAUUACAAAGCAUCCAAGGAACAUUAUUUCUAGUAGUAAAUGCAACACAAACCAGGCAGAAUCACAUUCAAACCAUAAAUUAGUAAGACCCAUCUUUUGAGCUUCUUCAAUAGCAUUUAUAUAACUUCAUAAAACUCAGCAACCAAAGCAGUUUGAACAUCAAGGAAGCAGAGAAACCACCAAUAAACUCUCUCAUACUCCCAUGGAAAAUACCUCCACAAGUAGCAAGACUAGAAGAACCCCUAGCAACAACAUCAACUUGGUGAAGGAAACUUCCAUCUAAUAAGAGGAGGAUGUAGAACUUUACCACUAUGAGUAUUAAUAUAAAAAAAAUUAAGCACACUGAAAUCAAACAUAUCAUUUCGCAUAGAACUUUUAGACGAAUUUUUCACUAGACAAAUGAGAUCUUUAAUAACCAAAAUAGCUAUAGAAAUAGCAAUUUUAACAUGAAAUCUAGCAUAAUUCCUCAUACGCCAUAUCAUCCAAAUAUAAAAAGUUAUCACAACAAGCUUAUCAAAUUAACCAAAGGACUACCAUCACUCUUAAUAAAAAAAAGAAGAUCACCCACAUUAGAGAAAUGAGAAUUAAGAAAAAAUUUCUAAACUCAACUCUAAAUAUGCAAAGCAUUAUGACAUUCAAAAAAUAAAUGUUGAAUAGAUUCUUCCUACUUUUCACAAAGCCUACAUAUAAAACAUAUAUGUAAACCUUUAUGCUUAAUGUGUUGAUCUGUAUGAAGUCGCCCAUGAAAUUUUUUCCAAAGUAUUAGAGUCUUGGAAGGAGGAAUAUAAGAAGACCAAAUGAGUUUGCCCCAACCACAUGGAGCUCUUGGAUCCAAGAAAAAAAUCCUAGCCGAUUUGAUAGUGAAACGACUAGACUCGUCCAGAAUCCAGUUAGGAAUAUCCUUGUACCGACCAGUCCCCGGGCAUUGACUAACCACUGGUAAUGUUGGUGCCACGUAAGCGGGUCCCACGAGCAGUGCGGGCCAGUACCUCGCAAAGCACGUGUGUCAAGGAGCCGAGAGUGGUCAGACAUCGGUCAUCAGGAUGUACCGACUUGCCACUAAACAAUGUGGAGAGGUCGGGCAUCGAAGAUCCAAACAGUAGAGAUGGAUCACGAGAAGUGGAUCCCAGAUCACACACCAGUUAUUAGUAAGGGAGAAGCCUAGAUCACGAGUGCCCAUGCAUGUAGAGUGGACGACGCAUCCAGGUGUGACACAAAGUAUAAAAGCCAUUGGAAGGAUAUGGCCAACAAGGGCCACAAUCAGGGGCGAGCUGCAUGCAUGGCAUGUGAACAACUAGGGCACUCUCAGAGGCGGGUGACCCCAGAGAUCAGGUGCACGAGGAGGCAUCCAGGUGGUCAUCCCGUCAGAGGUUGCACUCUAGUUAGGGACCCCACGGACUAGGUUAUCCUAAGAGUAAUGUAACAACAGUGUUGGGCCCGCCCAUUAGAAAGGCCCAUUUCAGGUAAAUAGGAAACCCUAGUUUUCAGUCUAUAAAUAGUAAGUUAACAAACUUGGUCAGGGGAGAGUCCUCUUGCUCUCGUUACACACAAACAAGAGCAAGAGUAUACAGUUUUUGGUGUUUCCUAACCCUAGUACUGACUUGAGCGUCGGAGUGCAAACGGCCGCUAGGGCGUCCAUUGUCUUUGUGUUUCAAGUGUUCAUCACAAGGAAAGCGUAUGCGAACGCAAGGACUCUGGACGUGAGCGUGACGUAGACGUACGAAGGCGUUUCGAGUCAACCGGCAGAAACAAUCAUGUUCCUGCCUAAUCAUGAUAUAUUAAAAAAAUGAGGCAUUUGUUAUAAAGAUAAUGGAAUAUUCCAAUCACUAUGACUACCAAUCCAAAAUUGGAAAACUGUAGUCGGGAUGCUAGUACCAUCAGAUACCCCUGCAAUGUUUGAUAAAGAAGUAGUAGAACAUUAUUUAUCAUUAUAGAAAUUAAUAAAAGCACAUGUACUAACAAUCCAAGUAUGUUCAAGAAUAGUGUCAUAAAAUUGUUUAAUCCCAGGUCAAAUAGAGAAAUUAAAAAGUUAAUGGGAUCACCAAUGAAAAAUCUUAAAUUUGUAUUAAUUCUGUGAUUUGAUUAUUGGAACUUGACGUACUACCAAAAAUUUGUUAUUAAUUGUGAACAUGCAUUUGAGAACUAAUAGAAAAUUGGCACCAAAUGUAUGUACGUUAUAGAUUUAAAGGAAUAGCAUCUGGGAUUGGGACCAAGUGUCUGUUGGUUUGGUGCAAUGGCCCCUGCAUGCCUUUUUUCUUCUUUUGUUUCUUUUACUUUUAGGGUUCCCAAACCAUUCUUCCAUAUCAAAUCAUUUCCUAAUUCUUAUAUAUAUGCCUUCAAUUUUCUCAAUGGGAGGGGAUUCUGUGCUUCAUUUCUUCUUUAAUUUUAAUUUUUAAGUCAUUUUUUUACAGUCAAUUACAAGAUUUUUUUUUGACUGCCUUAGAGAUUUCAAAUUAUUAGAGAUAUGAUUAUAAAUUUUAUUUUUUACAAGUUAAUUUUACUAUAUUAUAUCAUUUUUAUUUGACAUCGUCAUUAUACCAUCUAUUAUAUUUUUUUUUUCUAUUUUCACAUUUUAAAUAUCUCUUUGUGCAUAAGAGCCUUUUGAGAGUAAAUAAUUUCAGAUAAAACAAAAUCAUGCUGAAUUAAAAUAUAAUUGAGCUAUUUUUUUUUUACUUAUUUUUGAAAUAAUUUUACCCCAACUUUUAAAUCAACAUUACAGUCUCAAUCAAUAAAUAAGCUCAUCUCUCUUCCCCCAACCUCUAUCAUAAUCAUCUUCUUGUUAUAUUUCAUUGUCAUAAAAAAUAACAAAUAUCUUUACUAUAUGAACUACUUCGAUUAAGUAUAAUUGACCUUAAUUAUUAUAUAUAGAUAUAAUAGUUAUCAUGGUUACUCUUUGUUCUAGUUACUACUUUAUCUAUACGAGAUUAAUAAUAAAAGUAUUUACAAAAUAUUAUGACAUAUUAUAAAAUCAAUCUUUUUAAUAUGUAUAAAAUUUGAUUUUCUUUUAUAAAUAAGAACCGGAGAAACUAUCAAUAUCUCUGUGCUAAUAAUUGUUCUUAUAUCUAUCAUUUCAACAUUAUUCUAUCAUGAUUUUUAUACCAUUUCUAUAAAACUAUUUAUAUUAUUAUGUCUAAAAAAAAAAAAACUACUUCUACCAUGAUCUUAGUUGUAAUGGCAACAUAUCCAUUCUCACAUUAACAAUAUUAAUAGUCUUUCUACAUGCUAAAGGUUAUAAAAUUAAAAACCUUUUAAGAAUUUCAAAACUUAAAACUCACUUAAUUCUCAGCGAAUUCUAAAAAUUAGUGUAACAACUACAGCAUUGGAAAAGAGACAAAACAUUUGUACACAAAAAAAAGUCCAUAAUUAAAUUGUUUCAAUAUUAAUCUCAUAUUACUUAGAAAUUAAGAUAAGAGUAAUUUUUAUAUAUAUAAUUAUUAUUUUUAAUAUUCUAAAAUAUUUUUUAAAAAUAAAAUAUUAACAAAAUUCUAAAUUUUAAAUUUCCAAAUAAACAUUAUCUAAUCUACGGUGAAUACUACUUACAGAUUUUAGAUUGGAACAUAAACUAAAACAAUUUAAAGAAUGUAAGAUAAAAACAAGUGUGUGUCUGAAUAACCCGUUACUGUCGAUAUUCAUAGCACUUUGGCAGUUGAAGCCUGACAUAAAUCUGAAGAAAACUAGAAAAAAAAAAAGCAUUGCAUGUGGGAUCAUGAGUUGGGUGCAAAGAUGUAGCUUUUAAUAAUUUCAAAGUGGGGAGUUGAAGGAACCUACAAACAAACUCACAUGAUAUGAUUAAUUAAGAUGUGUAUAAGCCAUGAUUAGGUGUAUUAUUAACUGCUAUUCACCAAUAAUUACAUCAUUAUUAGUUCAUAUAUAUAGAAUUGUAGAACCACCUUCAUUUUCUGUUUUUCAUUUUCAUAGGUCACACUCUAUUAUCAUACAUACACUCCAAAAUCAAAUCAAAGACCUGAUACUGUUCUCAUCAUUUAUUGUCAACGCUUAAGAUAAUGUCAUUGUUACAUUACAACAACAAUAAAAUAAUAACAAUAAUAAUAAUAAUAAUAUAAUUGUUUUAGAAAACUAAAUUAACAAGCAUGAAAAUGGAAGCUCCUAUGUUUGACAUGGGAAGAGAAAGUGGAGAGAGAACACUUAAUUUUUCUAUUUUUAACAUAAUUUUAAGUAAGGUACUUAUUAUACCUCUUUCAAUUUUUUUUACUUUAAUGUAUAUUUAUGUAUUAUAUUUUUUUAUUGUUACACUUAAUUUUUCUCUUUAUAUAUUAACUAAAUUAAGAUAUAAUUUAAAAAAUAUAUUAUCUUAAAUUUUAAACAUAACAAGUAAAAAGGAUCAUUCUUUUUUGGUUAAAAUCGGACAAUAAAAAAAAGGAAAGUAAUGCAUUUUUUAUGAAGAUGGGCGAAAUAAAUAUUGAAUACGACUUCUUUUGUCACUUUUUUUGAAAUAAAAACUUGUUUCUUUUUAUCAAUAGUCAAAUGUUUUCUGUAAUUUUAGUAAAAGAAAAAACUUAAAAAACUAUUAUAUAGUAAAAGAGAAAACUAUUUCAUUAGCGUUAUAUUUCACUCUUUGAUUAAAAUUUUAUCCCAAAUCAAAUAUGUCUUAUCUUUGUGAUUCAUGGUUUUUCUUAUGUACACGAUUGACAGUCAUCAAUCCAUCUAACUCGAACACAAUUUAAAUCUUAAUUUGAAAAAAAAUAAAAUAAAAUAAACAUUGUUUAUCAAGUAAAUGAUGUUAAGAAAAAGUUAAAAAUCAAUCUCAUUAAAUAGAUAUAUUUAACUUGAGUUUCAUAUAUUUUCACUCGAUUAGUUGAUAAAUUACAACAGACCUAAUUAAUCUUGUUAAAAUACAUAUAAUUGAUAAGCAUAUUAAAAUUUAAGUCUAACAUAGUAUCAUAAAAUAAGAUUAUUAAAUUGAGGGUUAGCUGCAUAUUAUUAUUUGAUCAUCUCUUAUAAAAUCAACGUAUAAAUAAAAUCAACGUUUAUAUUACUAUUUGAUAAUAUGGGAUAUUUACAAAUAUAUAUAUGAUUAAAUUUAUACAAUUUGAUUUGUAAUUAAUUAUAUAAUAACUUUAUUUUAAUAUAAAUAAUAAAUAAAAUAUGUAAAUUUUGUCAAGUUAGCGAAUUGAAUUAUUAUAAAUUCAAAUUUAUUUGAAUUAGAGUUAAAAUGGUGAUAACAUAUCGAACCCUAUAACCCUAUUUUGAUAUGACUGAUGAAUAGGGAACGUGCCUUGUCUUGAACCCGAUGAUCACCACACGUGUGCUUUCUUCUCUGACAAAACAUGGCACCACAGCCACAUUUAUUAAUUGGUGAUUGAUUAUAAAGACAAAUCAGUAUAUUUUGAAAUCCAGAUUAUAAAAAAAUUAAAAUUGAACUUUAAUGUUAAUUUUUGAAAUUAACUUCAAUGUCAUUACUUUAAAAAAUAAGUUAGAUAAUAUCUUGAAUUUAAAUUCGUUAAAAUAAUAUCAUUAAAAUUUAAUUAAUAUAUUUAAAAUAUUAUUCAUUUUAGAAGUUUUGUUACGAAUUCUUAAUAAUGAUUUCUCUAAGUUAAGAGAGAAAAGUUAUAUUUAAACUAUCCUUAGAUCAACUAUAAGACGAUUGGAAGUAAUAGAGUAUAAUGUAUCUUUUAUCUUAUUAUAUAAUAUUAUAUAAUUAUUAUAUUAUGCAUAAUAAAUUUAUUAACCUUUAAAAUAAUGAUGUUAAAAAUUAUACCAACUAAAUUUUUCUUAUUGAUUUACAUAUAACACUAUGUUAUAAUAUUAUACAUCAAACUCAUAGUUAUGAAUUUAAUUUUAAAUAAUAAUCUAAUGCCAGGUUGGGAUAUCCAUUCUGUUUAUGUAUCAUUGAGAUUUGAAACCCAAAUUAAUGACUUUUUUUAUAUUUAGAUGAUCACGAGUAUAUUUUUAUGCAUAGUUCCGUAUCUCGUCUCCUAUAUAAAAGAAAAGAAACAUUUUUCUUUCAUUUAUUUAUUGACUAUGAAAUUAAUUUGAUAUAGACAUUGUUAAUAAACAAGUUUAUAUAUUAUCAUUUUAUUUUCGUGAACAUAUUAGUUUUAUCUUAACAAUUCACUAUAAAUACUAUUACUUUAUUAAUCCUCCAACAUAUUACUUGACAAAACAUAUUUUUUUUAAAAAUUAUAUUUAGUAUUAUAAAGUGUACAACUUAUAUUUUAAUAUUAUUAUGAUUAAUAAAAACAUACUACGACAAAAUAUAAAAUUAUAAAAAAUAUAGACAAUUAAUUGAGAAUGAUGUCUUUUUCUAACUGUAGUAUUGGACCAACUUAGUUGUAUUAAAUCGGUGAAAAUUUAUAUUUUUUUAGAAAUAGGAGAUUUUUUAUUAUUUUAAUUUUUCUCAUUAUAAGAUUCAUGAAUAAGAGAGAAAUCAUAUAUUUCUUUAUUGUAAUUUUUUUAUUUUAAAUUAAUUUAUUUUCUUAUUUAAUUAAAUAUUAUUUUUAUUUCUUUUUUGUUCUUAUAUUAAUUAUUAUAUCUUUAGAAUAAAACUAAAGGAAGUAUUGAAUUGAGAUUUUAAAAUAUUUUUUUUUUCAUUUGAAAAAUAUUGUGGUAUUUAAUUAUUAUUUUUAAAUAUUAAUUUUUUUACGGUAUUGAAUCUUGACUAUGUAAAGUCUUAUAUAGAAUAACAUGUAAAGGAUUUAAUAUAAAUAAAUUUUAGAUGAAGAAAAAAGUAGAAAGAAUAUAAAUAGGUUAUAACUAUUAUUUUUUAUUUUAUUUUGAACUUUCUUUAAAUUAUAAAAGAAAAUCAGAAUACCAUUGUAUCGACGGAAUAUAGUUUUAAAAAGGUAUUAUGUCAAUUAAAUUUUUGAUUUGGGUAAGUAAUAUUCAAUAUUUUUUUUUCUUCCUUUUGGGUGUUUUGUAAAGAAAGACAAUGUUGCUGAUGUAGAGUAUGAUGUUUGGGAUAUACUAGAAGCUAUAUUGGAUUUUUAGAAUUACAUAAAGUAAAUUUUGCUAGUAGGCAUACUAUUUUGGGUAAAGUGGGUUAAUUAUCAUAUCUACUUCAUAGGAUUGGAUAGAUGAAUGGGUGAAUGAUAUAAAUAUGGAAUGAAUGAUCUUUAUGGAAAUAUGCGUGUUGAGAAAUGAUUAUGCAUGUAUGUGAAUAAUUAUGACUUAUUCAAAGUGUUUUUUUUUUUAUCAUAAGAAGGUAAUAUUUUUUUAUAUUUGGUGAUGAAAAUGAUAAAUUGAAAUGAUUAAAGAUAUAUUAUGUGUUAACAAUAGUAUGUUAUGUGAUGGUUGGUGAAAUAUAUGUUUUUGGAUUAAUAUUUCUCAAGUGGUGAUAUACUACUAAAAAAACACUUAACGUGAACGUUCAAGUGAUAGUCAAUCACCAACAUGAAUGUUAAAGAGAUAGAAUGCAUAGCUCAAGCAAUGACUUGAAGCUUGAUCAAGAGAGAGUGAGAGAGAAAUGAGAGAGAGAGAGAAGAGAGAGAGAGAUAAAUAUAUGUAUUUGAUAGUAUGAUGUGAUUAAUAUAUGUAUAUGUUAUCUAUAUUUUAUUGGAUGAUGUUUGUAUUAAAAAUUAGCUUACCUUAUCUAUGUUUGUGUGAACUAUUAUUAUUGUACUAUGUGUGAGAGUAGAUGAUGUUUGAGGUAAUAAUGAAGGAAUUACCUAGAUUUGGAGAUAAAUAUAUUUUAUUUUCUACAAAUUUUUUAAAUUUUAACAAAGAUUUUUUAAUAGAGGUUAUGGUAGCCUCCACUAAGACACACAUUUAUUGGGGGUUUCUAAAUCCUGAUAAGUCUUGACAGUUUUUAAAAAAAUUGCACCAAAAUUUUAAAUUUCCCACCUUAUUUUUUCACUUUCCCAUGUUUUUCAUUUCAGAGGCAAAACUUCUCGCGUUUUUUACACAUUACACUUUGCUCGUGUCCUAGAAAACUAGUUUUGUUUACACACUUUUUGAUGGAGGACCAUCCGAAAGGACAUAUAUUGGGUCUUUAACUAGGGUCAUGGCUAGAAGAUCAAUGGAAGAAGAAGAAGAAGUUCAGAAAACUCUAUUUUUCUGGAGAAUUAAUUUUUAACUUUUAUUCCAAUUUUUCUAGUCUUAUAAAAUUGUAAAGAAUAAUGUAGGAUUUUAUUUGGGCUUGUAUUUGUGUCUUAUUUGGGGUUAUUUUUGGGCCAUGUACUGGACUUACUAGAAUCGGAAGUAAAGAGUCUAGCUAGGGUUACAGUCAGGCCUUUUUGAGCCCAUUUGCAACCCUAGACUGUCUAGGGUUUUUGGAGAGCUUUAUAAGGAUGCAUGGACAACAUCUACACAGGAAGGGAAGUGUGAAAGGCAAGUUGGACAACCAACAUUGAAAGAGUGACUGCCAUAUGGCUGCACCUCAAUGGAGAGAAAUCCUCUCCACUCACAAGCCACCACUUGUCACUCCACGAAUGGAGAGGAUUUGCUCCAAUUAUAGAGUGUCAUUUGUCAAGUUAUGAGUGGAGAACAUUCUCAAAUUUUUAGCACCAUUUAGGUUAUAAAUAGAGGUGCUCAACUCAUGUAUUUUUCAUCUUUGAUUGACUAAUUCAACCUCAAUUUGUCUCUUAACUUCCUCUUAGUUAUCACUUUUGUGAGUGUUUUAGUAAGGAUCCUCUUAGAAGUUUGCUUCACAUCUUCUAAGCAUAUCUUCCCUACUUUAUUUCACCUCCAUCCACGGUUGAAAUUCAUCUAUAGAAGCCACAAAUUUAAACCAAAAGAAAUAACGCAAAUCAAGCUAUAUAACACUUUUUCAAUCUUCAUCUUUAAAUUGAAGUUCCUCCUCACUCAGUUUUCUUCCAAUUUGGUAUUUGUUUUCCUUUUGCACUAUUUGGUUUUCAAAUUCAUUUUCAUUUUCCCUAAUUAGUCUUUAAAUAUUAAUAAUUUUUUUAAUCUUUAAAUAAUAUCUAAUUUAUUCAAUAUAAUGAUUAAUUAUUUUGAUCUUUAAAAUUUGUUUUUAUUUAAUAACUUUUUUGGUGCUAGUAUAAGUUUUAAUUUUUUUGUUAGUUAACCAAAUUUAAAGAUAUUUAAUUGAUAUUUUAAAAGAGUAAAACCAUACAGAUUACCAUAAAUUAAUUUUUGAUUGGAUUUUUAUAGAUUGUGUGAAUUUGUAUUUGAAUAAUGUAUACAAUUUUUGUGAAACAUUUUCAUCCAAUUGUUUAUGCUCCCAUUCAUAUUCUUUUCAAUCUCAUAGUGUUCUCCCUUAAAAAAUCAAUUAUUUUUCAACAACUGUUAUGAUUGUUUUCUAUAAUAAAUUUAUAGGUUAUUAUAUUAGUUUUAUUUUAUUUUUUCCUACAGGGUAUUGUUAUUAUAUUAGUUUUAUUUUAUUUUUUAUGGUUUUAAUUUUUAUACAUGACGUUUUUUUGGCUUAAUGAGUUUUUAAAUAUUUUUCCUUUAACCAUAGUAUUGUCAUAUCUGUUUUUCAAUAACAUGAUCUAGACUGUUUAUAGUUAACGAGUCGAAAAUAUAACUAUUCAGAAUUUUAUGGAAAAUGAUAUACAAGAAAUAAACAAAUUAAUAAAAAUACCUAUCAAUCAUUUCUAUUUUUUAUUUUAAAAGUAAAAAAUUGUCAAGAAAUCUAUCAAAUAAGUUUUUGUUUUUAUUUUUUCAAUUAUUAAAGAAAGUGAUGGGAGGAUUGGAGUGUUGUGUAGAUAAAUCUUCUUAAAAUUAAUAAUUAAUAAAAUUCAUAACUUUGAAACUAUUACUUAAACCCAAAAGCAUUUAUGAGAAAAUAUUAUAAGGUAUGAAGGGCCACUGUAGCUUGAAUAUGUGGAGAAAUGCUACAUAAGAGGGAAAUAAGUUAUAAGCAAUUAGAUACUAUCAGCUGCAUUGAUUUCACAUUUUUUUAAUUCAAAUCUUGUUAUUUAUUUAUUUAUUAUAUCUUUUUCAUUGACCAUGAUAGCUGUUUUGCUAUUUUAUUUUAAACUUUAGUUUAUAUUCGGUAGAAAUAUUAAAUUAUUGAGCAAAUACCGCUUUUCUACACAUUCUUUUCACUAAAUGUAACAUUUUAUUUACUUAAAAAAUUAUGACAAAUGAUACUUGUUAUUUUUAAUAAUCUCCUAGUAAUAAAUGUUGUAUAUAGCUUAAAUGUUUUAAUGUAUAAUAUCAUAUUUUAUAAAUCUUUUAAAAUUCAAAUUACAAAAUCUUAAUUAUAAAAAUCAUUAUAUUCUUAUAAAAUCUACAUGAUGUUUUUAUUUAUUGAAGAAACCUUUUCAAAUCUCAAUUGAAUACAUCCCAGAUAUACACAUUCGUAACCAGAGAAAGAUUAUCCAAGUAAAUAAAGUUGUUUUAAAAAUGAAAUAUUUAUAUAUGAAAAAACUUGAUCUUUCGUGGAAAUAGAAUGAUAUUACAAUUUAAAAAACUAAUUUAAUAAAUUUAAAAGUGUAUAAAAAUUAAAAUUUGACAAAAGAAUAGGAGUAAAGAAAAUUUAGAAAGAAUGUUUUUGAUUAAUUCAACACUUGUUGACAAAGGAAAUAUUUCUCCUAGUCUCUGAACCUUUAGUCCUCACAAUAAAAAGAUUAUAUAAAUUGAAAAAGAAAAAAGUUGAUUUGCAACCUAGAAAUUUGUUCAGCUGGUUACAACUGUGGUCCAAAACAAAAGCAGGUGCGAAAUUAAAGAAAGAGAUGUGAAGUAUGAUUGCAUAUUUCUAAAUAUGUCUGGCACCGCCAAUAAUUGAGGUGUUGUGGUUCAUUUACUCAUUCUGCAUGUAAUCUUGAGUGGAACAUUUAAUGAGCUGGGUUGAGCCUUACCCUAACAAGUAACAACUCCUACACCACAUGAUCUUUGCAACUCCCAACACAGAAUCACAUCCACACUCCCCCAGAUACUUCUACAACUAUUCAAAACCAUUAUUAGAUUAUAUGUUGCCAAACUUCAUUGCUUUCGAUAUUUCCAGGAACUCACAUAUAUUCUAUGUACAUAAACAUAUUUUAAAAAAUUAAAACUUUAAGAGCAUAAAACAUUUUUAACAUUAUAUGAGUUAUAAAUCUUACAUCCUCUAAAAAUAAAAUAUUUUAUAAUAUAUAACGAGGAUAAAUCUCGUCUUAUAAAUCAAUUAUAUAAAAUUGAAUUAGACUGUGUCAUUUUUUAAUAUAAUAUCAGAAUUAUUUAUAGUCUAUCUGUGUGUUGGACUUAUUAGGUACUCAUUAUUAGACCAUCAUUGAAUUAUUUAUAAAUAUAUAGUUUCAUGCACAAAUUGACAUGUUUCACGUCAGGGGACUUAUCAGGUCACAAGUUGACUCAUUUUGUGUAAGAUGGUGUAUUGGAAAUCUCACGUCAAUUAAACUUUUUAAUACUAUGCUCUAAUAUUAUAAACAAAAUUAAUCUCAAUUUAUUAAACUGAUAAAUAAUGAUAAAAAAAUUGAAUUACAUAAGUAGUUGUUUUAAUUUAAUAUUUUCUUAUGUUGAAUUUAGAGUUAUAAAGUGUAAAUUGAAAUCCUUGUAUAAAUAAAUUUGGACAAGUUGAGAAGUAAUAAAAGUAAGAAGUCUUUUCGGAUAAUUUCCUCAUAAAGACUUUGUAAAAGAAAUGAAAACAAUGAAAUUUAACUUUUUUUAUAUGUAAAAACUAGUUUCAACAUAAACUAAAAACAUUUUAAAAAAUAUAAUUUAAAAUUUAUUUAAGCAUAAACUAAAAAUAAAAUUUUAAAAAAAUGUAAAAGAGCUGUUACAAAUUAAUUUAUUCAUCGAUUAAUAUUUAUUUAUAAUAAAUCAUUAUUAAAGAUAUCAUCAAUGUUUUCUUCCCUCAGAUUUUCGAACAUAUCUCUCCAAGAGAAUUUCUGUACUUCCCAAAAGAAAAUAAAACCCAUUUCUGAUUUUAAGCACACAAAUGGUAUAAUGUUAAAUUAUCUUUUAUUAAUAAAGUUUUUAUGUACCGAAAAUUAAGUUAGUUAUAUUCAUAUUAUAAGUUUCGACUAAAAGUAUCAUAGUUUUAGUGAUUUAAAAAUUUGACAUAUGUAAUCAGUACAUUAGGUAUUAGAGGAUAUAAAGUAAUAAUGUCACAUACAAUCAUAAAUAUUUAACAUUUUUUUUCCUUUAAUAGAUGAAUAAUGUUAUCCUCGUGGCUUUGACCUGCAGAAGAAAAACUUUAAUGAGGAUGAUGUGCUUCUGUGUGAAUCUUAGACGGUUAUGCAUGUGAAAGUAAUAUUAUCCUAACUAUUAAGAAAUCCAACUUUUCAUCCGAUCUAAUUUACAAAUAAAAUAAGUUUGAUCGUACUAUAUUUUCAUAUUUUAUUGAUAUAAUCAUAAUUUCCUUCUUGAUUUACUCAACUUUACUGACUAUCACUUUAAUUAAACUUUUUUGAUAUUUUCAAUUAAUUUAUUAAAUUAAUGACUAUUUGAAAUAAUAUUGACAAGUAAAAAAAAGAGUCAACCAUGUAGCAGUAUCUCCAUAAAUUUUAAAAUACUUGUUUUACCUCUUUAUAUUUUGUUUGAAAGCUUCUUCUCGUGGUGGUGUUUUGAAAUAGGCUAGCUUGAGGUACAUGGAGAAGGUGUGAAAGGCUAGUGUUGCGUUUUAUUUGGUUUCGUUUAAAUGGGUGUAGAAUGGUCUAUUGCGUUUUAGAUUAUGGAAAUAGACUUCCAGAACACAACACGUAUUUCAGAAUGUUGUUUGUCAAAAAAAAUUGUUUUUCAAUUUGUUGCAUUUGGAAAGUGUUUUUUUAAAUUUUGGAAAACACAUCAUUCUAAAAUGUAGUGUGAAAAAAAAAUGUGUUAUGAUUGUUGUAUCACAUUUUAUAAUACGUCUGUUUAUGUGAAGAUGAGGUUGGAUGAUUUUGGAGAUGAUAACGAAUUGAAUUCUUGCAAAUUUCGUGGAUCGACUAUAAGGAAAAGAAAGAAGUUUCACUUGUAGAAGAUUUUUCAACGCGUAAGUCAAUAAGAACAUAAAAUAUAGUGUAUAAAGUGAUAAUAGUGUAAAAUAUGAGUUGAAUUUACUUCGUGAGCGUGAUGAUCUAUUUAUAAGUUUUCAUAUACAUGGAUAAUUGAUAUUGAUUUUCAAUGAAGCAUAAUUAUUUUUAAUGAUUGUAAUAAAAUUUGAGUAUAAUGUAAUAAAAUCAAAGUAUUAUAAAAUAGGAUAUUGUGUCCUAAAAUUAAAUAUCACGGAAUCAUAUAUAAGUUCAGUUGAUAAGAUAUAUUUGUGCAAAUUAAGUUUAUCGUGGUGGUAAAUUUACAGGUUUAUAAUGAGUAUCCCAAAUAUUUUGGUUAAUUUCUAGAGAUUAUUCUUAGAAAGUAAUUAUGGGUUUUCGGGAAAUUCAUCCAUCGAACAUUCCAUUUCGUUAUGGGCCUCGAGUACAUCAUGAUUUGGGUCGGGAUGGUACACGUCUGAUCUGGACCAAGGCGGUAUAUGUCUGAUUUGGACCAGGACAGUACAUAACCCCUCAGCCUUGAGCCAAGCGGGCGAGGCGAAGAGGCUUGUCGAAAAUACCUCUGAAAAGACUUACAUGUGUCCCAAGAAGCUUGUGAAAGGAUGCAUGUGUAACAAUUAUAAAAUACCCUUCCAGUGAUUCGCGAUUACUUUUCCCUUUUUGAAACGUCUUUGCUAUUUUUCGAACGUCACUUCCUUCCAUUACCUAAAUGUUCUAAGUGAAUAGUUUAAUUUUUGCAGAGAACUGAUGACUUCUUUGUCAAAGGUGGAGUUGGCUUGACGCCUUAAGGAGAUACGAACUCCAAAACCAUCUUUGGUUAUUGGGGAGGUUGGCCCGAGUGUUGUUCGCGUUCAUUCCGAUGAGGGCAAAUUUACGACCUUGGAUUUGAGAAUCAAGAAGAGGAGGGUUGAGAACCUUGUUCCAUCCACCCACUCUCACUCAGAUGGGCGUGCUCCCGAGAUUGAAAUAAUAAUGACCGAGAACUGGAAUCCUCGAUUCCACUUGGGAGUGAACCCGAGUUUUUGGGAUCCUUCAUAUGACAUGCCCAACCACAACAAGUCGCAUAACCUUUUGGAAGCAGACGUUUCUCGUUUUGCAGGAUUCAAAUUUAGAUCUUCUUUGUGGUGAUGUCGAGAAUCUUCUCGGUAGGUGAUACGGUGAUGGAGCGGGGAAGGGGAAGAACAUAGAGAAAACUAAAAAAAUAAGUGUUGGGAUAGAGAUAUAACAGAAUAAAAAAAAAACUUUUUAGAAUAAAAGUAACAUAACCAACAACAUGCUUACUCUCCUAGUCUAGUGAGGUAUAUAAUACUCUUUGAAAAACUAUUUGUCCUAAUAGACAGCUAUGCUAAAAAUACGAAAAAGCUAUAACAAAAAAUCCUAACAGAAAAGGGGAUUCAAUCCCUACAAAAAGACAAAAGAGAUCCUUCUAGAUAUAAUCCUUUAACCAAAUGGGCCUAGAUACCCUUCUAAUAGGCCUUAUGCUUGUGAGUCCAAUAUCAAUAGUCGGCCCCUGCAAAGCAACCUUGUCCUCAAGGUUUUGGAUGGAUGAACUUGGUGGAGGAGUUGUGGUAGAUGACACGGUGGUAUAGGAACUAGGGGUGUGGAAGGUAAAACGGGGUAGUGUGGUUAUUGUUAGGUUAUUAUUGAGAGCAGGUGUUGGUGUUUUGGAGGAGAAGGAUUGGACCCGCUGAAUUUUUGGUGGGUGCUUGUUUGGGGAAAAAAUGUUGGAAUAUUUGAUGUGGGUGGUGUUUGAUGGGCCAAGGUAAUUUUUGUGGUGUGGGGGUGGAUGUGAGAGGUUGCGAAUAUAUUGGGAAAGUGUGUUGGGUUUGGUACGGGCUUUUGGGUCACGUUGGGAUGUGGUGUUGGCAAAAGGGGUUGAGAGUGAGUUGUAGAUUGGCAUGGGAAACCCAAAGGGCAAGGUUUGGAAUGAGAAGGGUUUUGUAAUGUUUAAAUUUGGUGUGUGCCAACUACUUGUAUUGAAUGCGACACAAAGUCACGUGAAGGUGCUGCAGGAAGUUGGUGACGUGGCACAGUAUGGGUCAUUGAUGGAGAUGGCGUGACGUGUUCUGAUGGUGUGGGUAGAUGGUUAGGUGCAUUUACUUGUGGAAGUAAAUGGGUAGGUGAGGGUAGGUGUGGGAGUAAAUGGGCACGUGAAACAGAGGUGGGUGGUUGGUGAAGGGGUUUAACGAGGGCUGCUGAUGGAGGACAUGUGGCGUGUGUGGAUGGCAUCAGGGCUGUGUUAGGUGAGUUUGAAGUCUCACUUAGGGUUUCACUUAGGUUUAUCUUGGAAGGGUGCAAAAGGUGCGUGUUUAUUUCCUGGUUGGGAGAGUGGUGGGGUAGAUGGGGUUUUGGUCCAUGAUAUGGUUUGCGGAGAGAUAUGUGAAAUACUGGGUGAAUCUUGGAAUUUGGUGGGAGAGCUAGUUUAUAAGCCACUUCACCAAUGCGUUUGGAAAUAGGGUAUGGGCCAUAGAAUUUUCAGGAAAGCUUGCGGUGAGGGGAACUGGUGAGGGAUGUUUGGCGGUAAGCCUGUUGUCGGAGGAGUACCCAAGAGUCGACGGUGAAAACGUAAUGACGUCGUCCAGUGUUUGUUGUCUUGGCCAUGCGUUGUUGCGACAACGCCCUAUUUGUCUUCAGCUGGUGUAAUAUCUACAUUUGUUCUUGGAGGGUGGUUUCCAGAUUGGGUUCCGAUGCAGUGCCAAACACAUAAUCCAGAAAAGAUGGUGGUGGUCUUCCAUAGAGCGCUUGGAACAGGGUUAUUUUGAUGCCCGAAUGGUAAGAAGAAUUGUACCAUAACUCGACGAGGUGUAAAUAUUUGUACCAACUUCACGGAUGGUCACUGGUGAAACACCGAAGGUAUAUCUCUAAACUUUUGUUGAUAACCUCGGUUUGAUCGUCUGUCUGAGGGUGAUAAGUCGUGCUAAAUUUCAGUUUUGUGCCUUGUAGGUGAAAAAGCUCCUUCUAGAAGUUACUCAGAAAGAGCCUGUCUCGGUCUAAGAUUAUGGAUUUCAGAAUGUCAUGCAACCUGUAGAUCUCCACAGAAAAAUGAUUGGCUAGUUGGAAGGUAGUGAAGGACGUGGGAUGGCUAUGAAAUGAGCUGAUUUUGAAAGUCGGUCACAAACAACCCAAAUAACCGUAUGGCCGAAAGAUAAUGGUAAGUGAGUAAUAAAAUCAACUGUUAGUUCAUCCCAAAUUCUGGUUGGGGGGGGGUAUGGUUGUAAUAAUCCUAAGGGCUUUUUGUUGAUGGAUUUGUUCUGUUGGCAGGGAAGGCACUCUUUGAUGAUCAGUUUUGUGUCUCUGUACAUACCCGGCUAAUAGAAAGAGGCAGCUAAACGAGCUAGAGUAGCUUUGAGACCGGAAUGCCCUACGGAUGGGGUUGCAUGAAACUCGUGAAGAAUGGAUGGGCGGAGAUUGGUUGCUGAUGGAAUGUAAAGUCUUUGGCCGUGGUACAGUAAGUCAUUGUAAAAACUGAAAUUUGAAUUGGGAAUACCUGUCAAUUUGUUUUUUUCUUGUUGUCCAUUUGUUGUCUGAUAGUAUUUUUUUAAUUUGGUGAUGAACUCUGGUACUGGGGAGGAGAUGGCUAAGAAAACUGAGGGUGGUGGCCUGGAAAGGAAAUCGACAUCUUGGUUGUGACGUCCAGGCCUAUAAAGGAUAUCAAAAUUCUACCCAAUAAGCCGUGAAGCCCAUUUUUGUUGUUCCGGUGUAUGGCAAGCGCUGGUAAGUAGGCCCCUUAAACUUUGUUGGUCUGUGAUAAUUUGAAAGUGAUUGCCAAUGAGAUAGUGCCUCCAUUUCUUAACAGAUUCAAUAAUGGCUAGCAUCUCUUUAACAUAUACUGAACUACUUUGUUUCUUUGGACAAAGCUUCUAAUUGAAGAAGGCAAUAGGGUGCCCUGCUUGAGAUAAAAUGACCCCAAUGGUGGAAUUAGAAGCGUCCGUUUCCACUACAAAAGGAAUGGCGAAAUCAGGGAGGUGCAAGAUAGGUAGGAGGUGUAGUUAGGAUAUUUUUGAAUUGUAGAAAGGUUGUGUUGGCCAUGUGAUUCCAUCUAAAAACUUUCAAUUUGAGUAAAUCCAUGAGUGGAGAGGCAAGAGUGGCAUAUCCGCGGAUGAACUUCCGGUAAAACCAUGUAAUGCCCAAAAACGCACGUAGCGUAGUGAAUGAUUUGGGCUCGGGCCACUGUAGAAUAGCUUGAAUUUUUUCUGGAUCUGGGGAAACCGUACCCUGUUGAAUGAUAUGGCCCAAAUAUGCAACUGUAGGGGAUGCAAAAUUGCAUUUUGAUUCUUUAACAAAAAAUUGGUGAGUCUGAAGUAAUUGGAGAACAAUGUUGAGAUGUUGAAUAUGGUCUGUCAUGGAUGUACUGUAGAUUAAGAUGUCAUCAAAGAAAACUAGUACAAAACGCCUUAGGUAGGGUCGGAGGAGGUCAUUCAUUGCAGCUUGAAAGGUAGACAGAGCAUUAGAUAAGCCAAAUGGCAUAACUAAAAACUCAUAAUGACCAUCAAAGGUCCGAAAAGCUGUCUUGUGGCAGUCUGUGGGAUGUACCCGUAUUUGGUGAUAGCCAGAUCUUAAGUCCAGCUUAGUGAACACGCGUGCCUCCGUUAAUUCAUCCAAGUGUUCCUCAAUCGUGUGGAUAGAAAAUCUAUCCUUCAACGUGACAACAUUUAGAGCCUUGUAAUCCACACAAAAUCUCCAUGAUCCAUCUUUUUUUUAUGAGUAUGACAGGGGAAGAGAAGGGGCUAGUACUUGGUCGUAUGAUGCCUUCAUAUAACAUUUCUUGAAUGAGAGAAGUCAUAGUGUGUUUGUGGGUGUGCGGAUAACGGUAGGGUUUGAUAUUUAUGGGGGUGGAGUUUGGGAUCAAGGGAAUGUGAUGGUCAUGGGGGCGGUGGGGAGGCAACCCGUGAGGAGGUGAGAAAACGGAAUGUUAUGUAUGAAGUAGGGUUUGAUUCGCGGGGUGUAUAUUUGGUGGGGAAGGGUUGGAGCAUGGCAAGGGAUUUGGUUGAAAGGUGAUCAAAUGAAGUGAUGUUAUGGCUUUUGUAUGUAGGAGGUGACAAAUAUUGGUGACGUAAGUGUGUGUGUCUAAGAGUUUAUUGGUUCCAACUAGGGUUAUAAGGGUGCCUUGGUGAUGGAAGGAGAGUUGUGGUGUAGAGAAAUAUGCUUGUAGGGGUUCGAGGCAGCGCAACCAGUCCCUUCCUAGGACUACAUCCACUCCUUCAAUUGGGAUGAGGUAAAAAGGGAUGGAAAACAAUGAUUUUGUAUAGAAACAAUAACUGUAGGACUGAGAUGUGUGCAAUGAAUUUUCUUGCCGUUUCCAACCAUGAUGGAAAAAGGUUUAAUAGGAAGGGUGCAAAGGUUGAGGUGAUGGGCUAGGCGAGGUUGGAGGAUACUGUGUGAACUCCCGGUGUCUAUUAAAAUGGUAACGAGUGUAUGAUGAAUAAACCCCUGAAGUUUGAAGGAGUGGGCCGAGGGGGUUCCAGACAAGGCCUGGAGAGAUAGGUGUACAAGAGUAGGGUCCUCAGUGUCAGAAACAGUAUCUAAGACAGUGAAAGUUUCGGGGGGUUUUCUGGUAUAGGUUCUUCAUUAAGCAAUAAUAAGAAACGUUUGGUAAUACAUUUGUGACCAGGGAAAAUUUUUUCGUCACAAUUGUAACAUAAGCCGAUUGCUCUAUGUUCUUGUAACUGGGUGGAUGAAAGUUUUUUUAUAGGUAGAAAUCUUAUUUCUAUUCUGAAUUCAUAUAAAGAAUUUUGUUAAACUCUAAAAGGAUUUCAAAAACCUCUCUUAAACAA
rnacentral:lncRNA from 1 species